UGGUCAUACUACAACUCUUGGAUCGGUAUUAAAUUAGCUUGGAAAAUCCAAACUGAAUCUCCAUGUAAUCUCCUAUCUCCAUGUUAGGAGAUACAGGAGAAUCAGUUUGGCAUUGGGCGAAUUGAAUCGUGUUUCCCUCUCGGGAAAGUUUGGUACAACCAAUCAUAGCACGGGAGGCGGGACUUAAUGCUGCGUCAUCUUCAGCACCCCGAAGAUGAUGCCGGAGGAGGAGGAGGGGGGCCAAAGCGAAUCUUUUUGUGGUUUCUUGGCGUUUUGGAUGGCGUUAGUCGUUGCCUCUUUUCACUUGACGUUUCCGACGAUGAGGAGGCAGUGGAUGGCUCAUUACUUUCGGCUUCUUGCCAUUGUUUGUACAGAGGAAAAUCCCGUUCCAAACGUUUGUCAGCCUUGGAUGAUGAAGCCCAGUUGCCAGGAACACUACUCUGCAGCUCGCUGGUCCCAUCUCAACAGACCAAAUCAAGAAAACGGAAGCUGGAUGCUGCUGUGGAUCUGCUGCAGUAUUUGGAGAGUUUACAGGAACAGUUCUUGGAAAAGAUAAGAAGAUACCAAGACCUGACCUCUGCUAUGCUCCAGAACAUACAGAGGAUGGAUGAAAACCUUGAUUGGACUGCUGAGACGCAUGCUGUCGGUGCUGGAGCGACUGUCCCAGAAAUAAACUGCAUUGUCCACUACUUCUGCCCUUUUCUAGAAAAAAAAAAUCUUCUUUUUGUAAAUUCUUUUACUUUUUAAUUAUUUAACUUGACCUGUUUUGUAUUUUUACUCAUCCAAGUUGGGUGAAUAAACAGAAAUUUGUGAUGAGAGACAAAUGUUUUGUCUAUAAUCUGCCGAGACUUUAUUCAGUGUUCAGUGCACACUUCUGUUAUACACACAGAUAAUCAGUUGUGCUUUUUCAAGCAGAUUUUAGUCUGGAACAUAUCAACAUUUGUUGUUUUUUUUACUGCCACACCAAACUAGAUAGAUAAACUGCACUAUUAUUAUUGAAGUGUGCUUACAUGAUGUGUAUACAUACACUACUUACAAAAAGUUAUUCAAUGUUUGGGUGAA